rnacentral:rRNA from 1 species
AUUGAACGCUGGCGGCAGGCCUAACACAUGCAAGUCGAGCGGAUGAAGGGAGCUUGCUCCUGGAUUCAGCGGCGGACGGGUGAGUAAUGCCUAGGAAUCUGCCUGGUAGUGGGGGAUAACGUCCGGAAACGGGCGCUAAUACCGCAUACGUCCUGAGGGAGAAAGUGGGGGAUCUUCGGACCUCACGCUAUCAGAUGAGCCUAGGUCGGAUUAGCUAGUUUGUGGGGUAAAGGCCUACCAAGGCGACGAUCCGUAACUGGUCUGAGAGGAUGAUCAGUCACACUGGAGCUGAGACACGGUCCAGACUCCUAAGGGAGGCAGCAGUGGGGAAUAUUAGACAGUGGGCGAAAGCCUGAUCCAGCCAUGGCGCGUGUGUGAAGAAGGUCUUCGGAUUGUAAAGCCCUUUAAGUUGGGAGGAAGGGCAGUAAGUUAAUACCUUGCUGUUGUGACGUUACCAACAGAAUAAGCACCGGCUAACUUCGUG